CCUCUAUUGACUUGCAUCUGAUUUAAGCCCAGGCCUUUUUCUAAUAUCCACUGUCAUAUGCCUUACAAUGUGUUAUCAUAACCACACUCUCCUCACUUUUUGGAGGAUCACCCUUGUUAAACCCAAGUUCUAUUCCUUUCCUCUCCAGUUAUUGGCUCCCCAAGCUAAAAGUAACACUGCUCCAUACUUUCCUCACUACCCUGCAUAUCC